GAAAGGUGAGUACAUAUCCCCAGGGACCCCAACAAAUUAGGGGGGCCUGUUGUAGAGUAACAAACCCAAAGCCAAGCAACCCAGCACUGCCAUCUUUUCCCUAGUUCCCCCUCCAGCUAGCUGUACCUUUUUGGCCUUGGGAUUCAGUCUGUGUAAAGGGGACAGGGGCAUAGAUGUUUUGCAACAUUGCACAGGAUAAGAUGUGAGAUAUGAGGUUUCCAGCAUGUGAGGAGGAGGCCACUGCAGAUGUGCCAAGGCUUUGGCAGAGUGUGUUAAAGUCCUCAGACCACCUGACCUCUAGCCCAGAUGGCAUUUACAAUGUAGUCAGCUGUACUGGCUGCUCCUCAGGCCAGCUGGAGAAGGACAGGACUGGAGUCACCCCAUGCUGCCUAUUAGGGAGGGACUGUCUCUGGCUAGUCUUGGGUGCCUGCCUUGGGUUGUUGUCACCUGAUAGGGCAAAGGAGUCCCAUUUUCUCUCCUCUAUGAAGCCACCACCCUGCCUUGUGGGCUCUGCUCUUUUGCCAUCCUAUUGCCUGGAUUCCAGAGGUCACAGUGGAAGCUACCCAAGGUCUGGUCCCAUUCUGUGACUCAGGUGGAAAUGACAGAGUGGUUGGAGGGCCCUGUCUGGUAGGCAUUUAAGCAUGUGGCUGUUGUCCUCCAAUCCCCUCCAACUUCCCUGCAGCCUGGUCUGGGACAGACAGCAGGCUGUUUCCCAACCUCUAGCUAUAACUGGUGCCUUCAACAGCUCUGCCCAGGAGCCUUGUCAAAGGACUCAUGAGCUCAUUGAGGAUGGCAAUCACCAUCCUCCAAGAUAAGGUGCAAAGUGGUGUGAGACUUUCAGCUGUGCAGUCUAAAGCCUGGCUUGGAUCCUGCAUGCCUCUUCGGACUAGAAGCCCAGGAGGAAGUAGAGGGUCCUGACACUCCUGCAGCACCCUCCCUGCCUGCUGCAUGUGGUGGUGCUAGAGCCCGGGGACUGAAGGAAGAGGUGACCCUCCAUCUAUGCAGCUGUGGAGAGGGCAUCUUUCUGGUCAUUUGACUACUUGGGGGUGGGGCCCACCUGAUAUCCUGAGAAUAAGCCUAAUAAACUCACCGGUUCACCAAACUUGAUUUGGGCUUUACCUUGGUUUGUCAUGGUGCUGUUGGCUCAUGUCUCCCCAGGAAAAAUAAACACAACACCACAGCCUGUACCCACUAGGUGGCUGGCCAUGUCCCGCUCCCUGUUACUGUCCUGGCUGGCGGCCUGACAACUGACUGCCAGUCAUAGCAAUGGGUUCCUACAACGUGUGACCUUCCCUAGCUAGCUUCUUUUCCUCAAAGUGAGGGUUUGUGAGCUCACUGGUGUGUGAUGGACAGGUGCCGCUAUCCCAACAGUUUUCACGGCUGAAGCACGUUGCACUCUCGGCACAGAGGGAGCUCGCCUUGUUUAUAACAUUCGGCUGGGAGGACAUAGACCUGCUUUACCAGUGGCAGGAGGGUGAGGAAGGUUGAAGGGGCAGGGCCCUACCCCUGCUUCCCCACCUUCAGCUCCGGCUCCCAUCAACCACCCACCUUUUAUCAGCAUCGUCCACCAAAGGCAUCAGAAUUUACAAGAAGAAAGUCAGAGGUUAACACUGUGCUCUGGAUGGUACCUUGGUGAUGUGCUCACCAUGACAAAAGCAAAACUCAGUUGGC
rnacentral:lncRNA from 1 species